rnacentral:lncRNA from 1 species
GAGCCUGACAGUGCGCGGAUUAUCCGCGGUUGAUUGACUCAAGACCGAGUCGAGUCGUAUAGUGUGGCUAAGGUAAAAGAGUAACCUUAGAAAAGAAUUGGCAAUGAGCAUAGUGUGGCUAAAGUAAAAUCCUUAGGAAAGAAUAAAAGAGUGGUUAAGAAUAAAGAAUGGCUAAGAAUAAAAGAAUGACUAAGAAUAAGAGAGUGGCUAAGAAUAAAGAAUAGUUAAUGAUAAAGAAUGAUAAAUGAUAAAGAGUAGAAUCAAUUAAUCUACUUGCAUAAGUUGCAUGAUUUGCAUAGUUGCAUGUUGUGAGACAUGAACAUGAAUUAUAUGAUGUUGUAUAUAUAUGUUGGACUAACAUGUUGUAGUGCCUACUUUGGACCUGGUGGGUUGAGCUCUUCUCUUGGGUGGCCGUACCCACUGGGAAUUAUGGACAAUAGUUCUCACCCCACGUUGUUUUGGGGAUUAUAGGUUCACACGAGAGCGGCGCUGCGGCGUGAGGAAAGGGCGUAGUUCCGUAGUUAGCGCCUUACCAUUGAGACCAGAUAGCAGUACCCCAAGUCAGCUUAGCUUAGGGGUAUAGAAAUGAAAAGAACAAUGUUGUAAUAAUUAUGUUAAGAACUUGAUUGUAUUUGGAAGUAAGAAUCAAAGAAUUAAAAAGGAAAUGUAAUAUAUGAUGUAAAUGCUAAACUGGGAUGAAUGCUUGUAAUAAUAUAGUUGGAAUUAUGUUUUUGAUACCUUCCUUAUACAAUCUUUGUUUGUAUGCUGUUCCUGGUUGGAACCUCGCGCAUUGUAUGGAUUGUGACGCCUUGGACGUACAGGGGAGACUCUAUCCACUGUACAGAAAAAAUCUUGUCCGUUCGGCAGUCUGUUGGCGUGCCCGAAUUCGACCAAAUACGCG